GCUGAGGGGAGACUAUCAGGAGGGCCACAGGAAGAAUGCUUGUCACUCCAAGGCCUUUGGGAAGGUCUGAGACUGGGGCCUCCCCUGUGGUGAAGUGAGUUCCCAGACAGU
rnacentral:RNase_P_RNA from 2 species